AGAGUUUGAUCAUGGCUCAGGAUGAACGAUGGCGGCGUGCCUAAUACAUGCAAGUAGAACGCUGAAGCUUGGUGCUUGCACCGAGCGGAUGAGUUGCGAACGGGUGAGUAACGCGUAGGUAACCUGCCUCUUAGCGGGGGAUAACUAUUGGAAACGAUAGCUAAUACCGCAUAAAAGUCGAUAUCGCAUGAUAUUGAUUUGAAAGGUGCAAUUGCAUCACUAAGAGAUGGACCUGCGUUGUAUUAGCUAGUUGGUGAGGUAACGGCUCACCAAGGCGACGAUACAUAGCCGACCUGAGAGGGUGAUCGGCCACACUGGGACUGAGACACGGCCCAGACUCCUACGGGAGGCAGCAGUAGGGAAUCUUCGGCAAUGGGGGCAACCCUGACCGAGCAACGCCGCGUGAGUGAAGAAGGUUUUCGGAUCGUAAAGCUCUGUUGUAAGAGAAGAACGAGUGUGAGAGUGGAAAGUUCACACUGUGACGGUAACUUACCAGAAAGGGACGGCUAACUACGUGCCAGCAGCCGCGGUAAUACGUAGGUCCCGAGCGUUAUCCGGAUUUAUUGGGCGUAAAGCGAGCGCAGGCGGUUAGAUAAGUCUGAAGUUAAAGGCUGUGGCUUAACCAUAGUACGCUUUGGAAACUGUUUAACUUGAGUGCAGAAGGGGAGAGUGGAAUUCCAUGUGUAGCGGUGAAAUGCGUAGAUAUAUGGAGGAACACCGGUGGCGAAAGCGGCUCUCUGGUCUGUAACUGACGCUGAGGCUCGAAAGCGUGGGGAGCAAACAGGAUUAGAUACCCCGGUAGUCCAA
rnacentral:rRNA from 1 species